ACUUGUUGUUUGUUACUAACAUUUUUCUCCGUGAAUGAAGCAGUCACGGGGGUGGUAAAAACUAGUCACAAUUGAGCUACGACACCUAAUUCCGUGAUUGUCUUCGACUUUCAACCUUUCACCUACGUUGUGUUAAUACUAUGGCGGUUGUUUUUAUGUGUUGGGACGUGAGGGACCAUCUGGAAGGGAAUUAACUAAAAUGAAAAGUUUUUCUACGUAAGAAAAAAUAAGAACAAAUGAACUGCUGUGUAAACUACUUCAUGCGGAUGAUUUCUUAGGAAUCCGUACCUAUAACAACGAUGGGUCACCCUGUAUGAUGCACAUUUCAAUUUUUAAAGUUGAAUGUGGUCGCUAAUUUUAGAUUGAACAUAAAUUCGAUCAUGUUAUUUUGUUCGAUUUAUUAAUGUUUUUCGUUUGUAGAAGUUUAUCUCCGGUCAUUGCGAUAAGAGUUUGUAUAAGCUCAUUAAGUUGUGCGCGGAAAGAAAACACAGAUGUUCAGUUUAUUUCGACGCGUAUUAAUUUUGACAAAGAAGUGUAUGUAUGGCGCAGCCUGGAGUAAUCGGUUUGUUUUAGAAGAAAAUUCGAUUUUAUAAAUACGUCAUUAUAAAAUGAAUGUUAUUAUUUCAGUGAGCUGAACCGUUGUCCACGUUUACAAAGGAAUUAAUCUUCAGUUGGCGUUUUGCUUUUCUUGGUAAUUCGACUAAUAAAGCCCAAAUUACGACCCAGGAUGUGAGAUAUUAUGUCAUUGGUGCUGGCGUACAGGUGAUACAGGGUGACAGAAAA